rnacentral:rRNA from 1 species
UACGUAGGGGGCAAGCGUUGUCCGGAAUCAUUGGGCGUAAAGAGCGCGUAGGCGGUCCGGUAAGUCCGCUCUGAAAGUCCGGGGCUCAACCCCGGGAGGCGGGCGGAUACUGUCGGGCUAGAGUCCGGAAGAGGCGAGUGGAAUUCCUGGUGUAGCGGUGAAAUGCGCAGAUAUCAGGAGGAACACCUGUGGCGAAAGCGGCUCACUGGACCGCAACUGACGCUGAGGCGCGAAAGCUAGGGGAGCAAACAGG